UGAUAUACCUUUAAAAAUGACGCUUUGGGGAGACCAAGCAUCUGAUUUUUUCUGUCGAUAAUGUUUACAAUGAGAAUGAGAAGAAACUCCUAAUCAUAUUGUUCAUCGGAUGCCUUCCUAAACGAUCCAAAGGCCAAGUAUAUUUAUGCGGAAAUGUGGUAUGCGCAUGGUACUUCAAUCCAGACAUCCGUGAAAUACAUGUGUUCUACAACAGUUUGUAAAGGUUACCAACAGCUGAGUUCCAGCUACUACGACAUCCUGUCACAAAAGAGGAAAUCCAGGUUUCUCAACCCUCUGAAAUUGAAGACAAGAUUGUGGAAGAGCUACUUGAGAUAGAUCCAGAUAUGUUUCAUGUAAUCACUGUCAUAUCCUUCUGUAUUCAAAAUAUUUCGUCCGUCAAACAUAGGCUUAGCCUAUUUACAACAACCAUCUAUUCUCUAAUGCAGCCACAAGGUUACAAGUGCACUAUUACUGUUUCAUGUCUGCUUCAAGACAAUAGAUGGUGGUUUCCAUCUUGCACCAAAUGCAAGAGGUCUCCAACUCAGACCUCUACUAGAUACCGAUGCACAACGUGCGACUAGACAAACUAGAUUUAGGUACAAACUCAGAUUAUUGCUACUGAUGGAACUUCUAAAGCAGAAUUCUUUUGUUUUGAUAAUAUAGCCAGAUGAAUAGUAGGAAAGUGCUAUGAAACCCUUGUCAGAAUAGCAGAUGAUUCUCGUGGUCCUCCAGCGGACCUGGCUGCCAUUGUGUCGUUUAAGUUUACCUUUGCAGUUACCAUUAACAUGUCGGCAUUCUCUGUCACCAACAAUCUUUUAUGUUCUCUCUGGACUAACAAAUCAUGGGAGACAUGCAUCACUAACAAUUUUUUUGAAAGCAAAUGGCAGAGCUCGCCUUUCAAUUAAGAGAGAAAAGAGUUACAGAACAAGGAUCACACAUCACACACACCAGGAGCACACCUCCUGCCUAAGAAGAACUGCUCACACAUAACGAUGUAUUUGGUUGUACAAGCAUACAAGACUCUCCAGCAGCAUCUUUUGGCAAACUAUCCAUAUCUACCAAUCAAAAAAUGUGGGUACAAGUCAGCUUAACAAAGACGGUCUGCCAUCGCCACCAAAAGAUCAGAACCAGCCAACUUCGCAUACACCAGCCUGAUUCUACACAACCUGGAGAUCAAAGCCACUAGAUCGUCAUGAAUUGCAAGAUAACUGUUUUGCGCACCUACAAAGGACGUCCAUGCUGCUGAAACGCAUAUACUUUUAUGUACAUAUAACGAAACUGCUACAGCGUCUCCAGCUUUGUAUAUGUUUAUGUGAACCCUAUCAGUGAACUCUAAUUUACGCUUGAUGUAGUCUACUCAAGUGCUACUUCAUGUGUAUUAUUGUCUCAGUUACUCUACAACUAUUGUGAGCCUUGGCGUCUGCUUCAUCUUGGUUUUGUACUUAUUUACUUACCUGCUUUUUAGCUAUGGUUUCCAGUUUAAAUGUGAUCACACUGCAACAUCCAAUUCGAUAUCCUCAUAAAACAU